GUACCAUAACCGACACAGGUGGGUAAGUAGAGUAUACUAAGGGGCGCGAGAUAACUCUCUCUAAGGAACUCGGCAAAAUAACUCCGUAACUUCGGGAGAAGGAGUGCCUUAUUCUUAAGGUUGCAAUAACAAGAUCCAAGCAACUGUUUAUCAAAAACACAGGUCUCCGCUAAGUCGUAAGACGAUGUAUGGGGGCUGACGCCUGCCCAGUGCCAGAAGGUUAAAGAAGUCGGUUAGCAAUAGCAAAGCUGGUAACUGAAGCCCUGGUGAACGGCGGCCGUAACGAUAACGGUCCUAAGGUAGCGAAAUUCCUUGUCGGGUAAGUUCCGACCCGCACGAAAGGCGUAAUGAUUUGGAUGCUGUCUCGGAGAGGGGCUCGGUGAAAUAGACUUGUCUGUGAAGAUGCGGACUACCUGCACCAGGACAGAAAGACCCUAUGAAGCUUUACUGUAACUUGAAAUUGAAAUUGGACUUUAUUCGCGCAGUAUAGGUGGGAGGCGUUGAUUAUAAUCUUGUGGGAUUAUUGGAGCCAUCAGUGAGAUACCACUCUUGUAAUGUUAGAUUUCUAACUUUGAACCAUUAUCUGGUCAAAGGACAGUUUCAGGCGGGCAGUUUGACUGGGGCGGUCGCCUCCUAAACGGUAACGGAGGCGUACAAAGGUUUCCUCUGAACGGUUAGAAAUCGUAUCUAGAGUGUAAAGGCAUAAGGAAGCUUGACUGUGAGACCUACAAGUCGAGCAGGGACGAAAGUCGGUCUUAGUGAUCUGACGGUACUGAGUGGAAAGGCCGUCACUCAACGGAUAAAAGUUACUCUAAGGAUAACAGGCUGAUCUCCCCCAAGAGUUCACAUCGACGGGGAGGUUUGGCACCUCGAUGUCGGCUCAUCGCAUCCUGGGGCGGUAGUACGUCCCAAGGGUUGGGCUGUUCGCCCAUGAAAGCGGUACGCGAGCUGGGUUCAGAACGUCGUGAGACAGUUCGGUCCAUAUCCGGUGUAGGCGCUAGAAUAUUGAGAGGAGCCUUCUUUAGUACGAGAGGACCGAGAAGGACAUACCUCUGGUGUACCAGUUAUCGUGCCAACGGUAAACGCUGGGUAGCUAUGUAUGGAGUGGAUAACCGCUGAAAGCAUCUAAGUGGGAAGCCCACCUCAAGAUAAGUAUUCUCAUCACGUAAGUGAGUAAGGUCACGGUAAGACUAACCGUUUGAUAGGCAUUAAGUGUAAGUACAGUAAUGUAUGUGCUGAGACGUCCUAAUAGACCGAGGACUUGAAUAG
rnacentral:rRNA from 1 species